GAGCUUAAAAGUGGUUAUAGCGCUCGCCUAGGAUGCAGGAGGUCGCGGGUUCAAACCCCGGCCGAGUCA